UACGUAGGGUGCGAGCGUUGUCCGGAAUUACUGGGCGUAAAGAGCUCGUAGGCGGUCUGUCGCGUCGGCUGUGAAAACUCGGGGCUCAACCCCGAGCCUGCAGUCGAUACGGGCAGACUAGAGUGCGGUAGGGGAGACUGGAAUUCCUGGUGUAGCGGUGAAAUGCGCAGAUAGUCAGGAGGAACACCGGUGGCGAAGGCGGGUCUCGUGGGCCGUAACUGACGCUGAGGAGCGAAAGCGUGGGAGCA
rnacentral:rRNA from 1 species